AUUGAACGCUGGCGGCAGGCCUAACACAUGCAAGUCGAACGAGUGGCGGACGGGUGAGUAUUGUUUGCGCAACUGCAUGAUGGAGGGGGAUAACUACUGGAAACGGUAGCUAAUACCGCAUACAAUCGGAUGUGCCCAGAUGGGGUUAGCUAGUAGGUGGGUUAAAGGCUAAAGUAGGAGACGGUCCCUAGCUGGUCUGAGAGGAUGACCAGCCACACUGGAACUGAGACACGGUCCAGCCUCCUAGGGGAGGCAGCAGUGGGGAAUAUUGGACAAUGGGCGCAAGCCUGAUGCAGCCAGGCGGCGUGUAUGAAGAAGGCCUUCGGGUUGUAAAGUACGUUCAGCGGGGAGGCGUUACCCGCAGAAGAAGCACCGGCUAACUCCGUGCCAGCAGCCGCGGUAAUAC
rnacentral:rRNA from 1 species